UGGUCCCGGCCGGAUAUGGGGGGCUCGGGGUCCCCGGUUCGCUUUGGGGAGAUUGCUGCUGUCUGUUUUCGGUUGUCCUGAAGUCCCUGGACUCGGCUUGGCUUGGAGACCCAGGGCAGCGAGCUGGGUCGGGCUCGCGGGUGGCGGCGAUUCCGAGGUGCCUGGAUGUAGCUGGACCUGAGUGUCCCGGGACACUGAGAUGUCGACCUACAAGCGGGCCACGCUGGACGAGGAGGACCUGGUGGACUCGCUCUCCGAGGGCGACGCGUACCCCAACGGCCUGCAGGUGAACUUCCACAGCCCCCGGAGUGGCCAGAGGUGCUGGGCUGCACGGACCCAGGUGGAGAAGCGGCUGGUGGUGCUGGUGGCACUUCUGGUGGCAGGACUGGUGGCCUGCUUGGCAGCGCUAGGCAUCCAGUACCAGACAAGAUCCCCCUCUGUGUGCCUGAGCGAAGCUUGUGUCUCAGUGACCAGCUCCAUCUUGAGCUCCAUGGACCCCACAGUG
rnacentral:sRNA from 1 species